AAGCAACACUCUGUGGCAGAUGAUCAAAACUGUCUGACACAAUUUGAGCUUGCUAUAGCAAGAAAGUCAAACCUAUUCCGGUGUUCUCUUCUCCAUGAGACAAACCGUUAUAUAGGCUUAAACAGU
rnacentral:snoRNA from 1 species